GAUGAACGCUAGCGGCAGGCUUAAUACAUGCAAGUCGAGGGACAGCACAGGUAGCAAUACUGGGUGGUAACCGGCAAACGGGUGCGGAACACGUACACAACCUUCCUUUAAGUGGGGGAUAGCGCAGAGAAAUUUGGAUUAAUACCCCGUAAUAUAGUUGAAUGGCAUCAUUUGAUUAUUAUAGCUAGGGCGCUUAAUGAUGGGUGUGCGGCUGAUUAGAUAGUUGGCGGGGUAACGGCCCACCAAGUCUACGAUCAGUAGCUGAUGUGAGAGCAUGAUAAGCCACACGGGCAAUGAGACACGGGCCCGACUCCUACGGGAGGCAGCAGUAAGGAAUAUUGGUCAAUGGACGCAAGUCUGAACCAGCCAUGCCGCGUGAAGGAUUAAGGUCCUCUGGAUUGUAAACUUCUUUUAUUUGGGACGAAAAAGGGCCUUUCUAGGUCAACUGACGGUACCAGAUGAAUAAGCACCGGCUAACUCCGUGCCAGCCGCCGCCGUAAGAC
rnacentral:rRNA from 1 species